rnacentral:tRNA from 1 species
AACUAAUUAUUUUAUAUUAAGAAUAUAGCUUUGAAGCAGCUAAGGAUUUUGGUUU